GCGCCUGUAGCUCAACGGAUAGAGCAAUUCUCUUCUAAAGAAUAGGUUGUGGGUUCGAUUCCCGCCAGGCGCG
rfam:Microgenomates (Levybacteria) bacterium GW2011_GWA2_40_16 TT85_C0016, whole genome shotgun sequence.